GGAAACCCAGCCAGAUGCGCAGGGUACAAAUAUAUUAUUAUUAUAAAUGACAGGCAGAGCCAACUGUAAUUCUAGUUUUGUCCCCAUUUUCCAGAGUUCUACAGCACAUCACUGAGCCCGAGAAGGAGGAAGCUGAUUGGCAGGGCAGGGCACCAAUUGCCCUAAUGGACCAGCCUCCGCUGGUAGAAAGAGGUGGAUCAAUGGCAGCCUGGAGGCAACUAGAAGCUGCUGUCUGCAAGCAAGGAACAAAAGCACUGCUAAGGCUACAAUUGGAUGUGGAAGGAAGGGCCUUUAUUUAAAGCACUUGCUGUAGAAAGAGAAAGAUGAAAGCCUGCUUGCCAGGAUAAUCUUCCCUGCAUCUACGUUCUGGCUAACUGGUUUGAAAUGACUCACACUAUUUUAAUGGAUCUUGGGAGAAAAGCAAUGACAAGCCUAGACAGCAUCUUAAAAAGCAGAGACAUCACCUUG